UGAUAUUUAGUCAAUAAAGUUAUUUUUUUUUUAAUGAAAAUCACUCUCUCCCUCUCCCACUCUCAAGGGCUAAAACACAAGCUUCUUAAUCAGUGUUGUCACCUUAAAGCAGGUGCUCUUGUGCUAGUAUUGGUAAUUCAACAAGGUUUUAUGACCUUCCUUGGAAAGGUUACAAUAUCUGAGUGUAAACUGCCAAAGUGCCAAAUUCAGUGCCGGUCAGCAUAUAUAAGAUCAUGAAAUACCCAGUCUUAGUGAUAACCAAAAACAAAUCCAGCUGUAAUGCACAAUUCCCUAUGCAUGGGGCACAAAACAGGAGGUCCCGUAAACCUUGUUUUUGUCCUGCUUGUUUGGACCUGCACAGGGUUAUCUUCUGAGGGGACCACAGUGGACCCCCUCGUCUCAGCCCCUGGUUUUGCACUGCAGUUGUUUUGUGCUCGGGGACUAGGCACAUGUAUUCAUUUGGAGCCAAAGACUGCUCUCUCUAAUUUCUCUGGUGUCCUGUUGAAUCUUAGGAGAACAUGAGCCCUUGGACCACACCUCAGGACUACAUGGCCUGACAACUUCUAGAUGUCACCAAAGUCCUCUUGGUGGUGAUUCAGAUUAAGUUGAUGCAUGAUGAGUCCUGAUGUCACCUGGUUACUAAGGACUCUGGCCACAGCCCACCUGCAUUUAUUGGCAUGCUGGACAUCUGAAUGUGGCCCAAAAAUGCCAUGUACUCUCAUAAUCAGUCAGAGUCCAGCUUCUCUGUUGGUAUCUCCUUCCUAGGGUUCAACCCAACUAGAGAUUUUUUGUAGCCACUGCGCAUCAAUUUCGUGUUGUUACUGGCUUGUUGUGGUUUUAGCCAGGGUCUCUGUGUCAGCACUUUGUGACAACUGCUGAAUUUCAAAGCUCUCUCUAAAAUAAAUACAUUUGAUUGAUUGAUUAAUCAAAUAUAUAUUACUUUUCAAUUUUGUUUAAUUGCAUUAAAAACAAAGCUUACCUAACCUAAGCCUCUCUUCUCAAUUAGAAUUGUUUUACUUAGUCCUGACCAUUGCAUAUGCCAUGUAAUCAAGAGUAUCGAUAUAGCUUUUAGCUUGUGAGACUGCUUUGAAAUAAAUCUUAAUCCCCACGGUUUCAGAUUGAUUUCAAUGUGAAGAACAAGAACAGCACACAGUGAGCAGACAUUUUUCUCCCCUAUCCUUUCGCCGUAUUAUUAUUUUAGCCAGCUCCUGUUAUGAUUGGAAAUGUUUGUUAAAUUCCCUCCGUGAAAGCGACACGUGUCACGCCUGCUUCCGUCUGCAACAUUGUGCCCAUAUGUCCUUCAUGGAGCGAGAGAUUGUUAGAUGCCGAUGACCCACAUGUUUGAGUUAUCCGCGUUUACCAAUGUUUUAAACAUUGAGUCUGGUCUGCAGUGUUAGCUCCCGACUACCCUAAUGUCAAUAAAGUGAAGGGUAAACCCUAAAUUGAAAUAAAAACAUGCCAUGAACAAGUCUUCAGAAGGUUCUAUGGCUGAGAGCGUCUUGACAGGCUGCAUCACCACUUGGUCUGGCGCCUGCAGGGCCACUUCAGUGGGUGAGUUCAUCACUGUGCCUGAGCGGAGUUCCUUUCUUUCAUUUCACUCGACUAUUUCCCAGACCCUACCCACUCUGAAGCAAGCAAUGUCUUUUGAUUGAGAAGGGGAGUGACUCCGGUCGCCCUUGAAGUCAGACAAGACGCAACCAGUGGUCAGGAAUGGGUUGAUGAGGGAAGUGAGAAAUCCAUCCGAAUUUAAGAAGGAUUACUCAACGGAGACUGCUCUCAUCUGUGUCGCAGAGGGUCGUUGCACCAAGCUAAGUGUCUCUUCUCUGUUCUAGACAAUAGUUAGUGUGUGUAAAAUUCUCAAGUUGUCAAAGACAGUUCUUGCAAUUGUCAAAACAUACACAGAUUUUGUUAAUCUAUUCAUGACUACAGUGAACUCCAAAAGUAUUUGGUCAAUGACAGACAUUUUCAUGGCCUUGCAUUCAAGCGCUUUGGAUUAAAAUUACACAAUCCCUAAGGUCUAUUGGGUUAAAGUGCAGAUUUAAUUUGAGGUUAUUUUCAUUCAUCUUUAUUUUGUGGACAGAAUAACAUUAUGUAUAAUAAAGUAGUCAUGUUAAAUAUUUGGUCACAUACAGUUUUCUGUGUGUUCAGUGACUACCAGAAGUCUGCGACCCAUUGACUUCAACAGACAUCUUCCCUGGUGAUGAGGAGACAAGAUGUUGCUGUACGCCUCAGAACUCAUCCCGAUGUCAGCAGUUACAUCAUCAAUCAUCAUCAAUGAAGAAAGUGCUCUUCUAGCCAUCACUCUGCGUCUGGCGGACAGUGUCUCAAACCCGUGACCCGGAGCUCCCCAGGUGGACGCACUAGCCACCGCUCCAAAUAGGGACGUCCAAUUUGGAAGGGCGAGUAGUGGUCAUACCAAGGUGCCUGCAGUAUGAUAGUGUCUCACACAUCCACAUCUACUUCCUGGACAGUGUUCCUGAUAUGGCAGACUGUCUUUCUUUUUUUGCAUUGUAAUGUGAUUUAUGUAGCACAAUCUGCUCUCUCUUACCAUUUCAUUUGAAUGAAGUGUCUAAUGUGAGUUAUACAGCACAAGUUGUUCUCUCUUACCAUUGUAUGCGAACAAAGUGUAUAAUGUGAUUUAUAUAGCACAAGCUGUUCUCUGUUACAAAUUCAUGAGAGCGAAGUGUGUAAUGUGAUUUCUAUAGCACAGGUUGUUCUCUCUUACCAUGUGAAUGUAGUGUGUAAUGUGAUUUAUAUAGCACAGGCUGUUCUCUCUUACCAUAUGAAUGUAGUGUGUAAUGUGAUUUAUAUAGCACAGGCUGUUCUCUCUUACCAUGUGAAUGUAGUUUGUAAUGUGAUUUAUAUAGCACAGGCUGUUCUCUCUUACCAUGUGAAUGUAGUUUGUAAUGUGAUUUAUAUAGCACAGGCUGUUCUCUCUUACCAUGUGAAUGUAGUUUGUAAUGUGAUUUAUAUAGCACAGGCUGUUCUCUCUUACCAUGUGAAUGUAGUGUGUAAUGUGAUUUAUAUAGCACAGGCUGUUCUCUCUUACCAUGUGAAUGUAGUGUGUAAUGUGAUUUAUAUAGCACAGGCUGUUCUCUCUUACCAUGUGAAGUGAAGUGUGCAUCGAGAAUGACGACAGCAUCAAGCCUUAAGACGUUGCUGUUAAUUAUCCUACAUUAAAUUUGUCAAUCAUGACUGG
ensembl:lncRNA